CAAUAGCGUAUAUUAAAGUUGUUGCGGUUAAAAAGCUCGUAGUUGGAUUUCUGCCGAGGACGACCGGUCCGCCCUCUGGGUGUGUAUCUGGUUUGGCCUGGGCAUCUUCUUGGAGAACGUAGCUGCACUUGACUGUGUGGUGCGGUGUCCAGGACUUUUACUUUGAGGAAAUUAGAGUGUUUCAAGCAGGCACACGCCUUGAAUACAUUAGCAUGGAAUAAUAAGAUAGGACCUCGGUUCUAUUUUGUUGGUUUCUAGAGCUGAGGUAAUGAUUAAUAGGGAUAGUUGGGGGCAUUCGUAUUUAACUGUCAGAGGUGAAAUUCUUGGAUUUUUGGAAGACGAACUACUGCGAAAGCAUUUGCCAGGGAUGUUUUCAUUAA
rnacentral:rRNA from 1 species